GUGGCCCUGGGUGGAUAUGCUCGUUGGAUCCCUGCGUGCGGGAUGCCUGGCCCCAGAGUCCCAAACAAUGCCGGGUCCCGAUUUCUGUUAAUGCUGCAAAUAUGUAUUGGGCAUCCCCAAGGGAAAUGGUGUCUGACCCUACUGAAAAAUUUGCAAGAGUAACUGCCUGCGGACUGUACCUUCUGGCCUUUCCCCUUCCCUCGUUCCUUCACGGGCUUUACCUCCCACUCUCCCUCUUCCCAAUCCAAAUUUACCGCGACCAAUUCCAGGCCUUUGCAUUGGUCUGGAUGACAGAGAAGUGAUCUGGGCCAACGUGUCAGAAGAGGGCCGAACUCUUCCUCCCAGGACUGGUUCUUCUCUUCUAAAGACCAAGAUCUCCGAAGCUACUUACUGCCCUGUGUAGAGGCAGGCCUACCACAGAAUCACCCCAGACUGGUACCCUGUGGUCCUAUUGCACUUAGUAAAAUAAAGGGCAUUGUCGGCCCAGGUAUUCCUGCUGCCCCCAUGCGCUCCACACCCCUUCAACAACCACAAGCUUUAUUUGAAGGGAACCUCCAGAUUCACUCAGCGAAGCCAACACGGUAACCGGAUUUGCACUCCUAUCUCGGUUGUCUCCCCACGCCUAAUUUACCAAGCAGGCUUAGGGCCUACAGUGUAACC